rnacentral:rRNA from 1 species
UACAGAGGUCCCGAGCGUUGUUCGGAUUCAUUGGGCGUAAAGGGUGUGUAGGAGGUCUUGUAAGUCGGGCGUGAAAUCUCACCGCUUAACGGUGAAACUGCGUUCGAUACUGCUUGGCUAGAGGAUCGGAGGGGGUAUCGGAAUUCAUGGUGUAGCGGUGAAAUGCGUAGAUAUCUGGAGGAACACCGGUGGCGAAGGCGGCAUCCUGGACCGACACUGACACUGAGGAGCGAAAGCCAGGGGAGCAAACGGG